AUGAGAUUUGUCCAGAUAGAUUUAAGACCGAACAAUUUUUUUUCCCAUCUUACACCUGAACUGUUUCGGAUUAUAAUAAUAUCCCAAUUUACAGCUCGGAAUUUCUUAAUUUGUUUAUUAAUCACCAUUAGGGAUGUCAAUUGGUUGGAUUCGGAGUGGAUUUUCAAAAAUCCAAAUCCGAACCCGAUCCCAACUCCAAACCUGAAAUCCAAAUUCAAACCUGAAUUCGACAGAUUUUAAAAACCCAUAUUUAAAAGCCGAACUCGACCAAAAAUUCGAAACCCAAAUUCAAGCCCGAAACAAUUAUUUCUCUUUUCAAUAUUUCAAAAUAUAUUACAUUAAAUUUAAAAUUUUAAAAUACAAAUUCAAAUGUAACAUCAUAUAUAUAUAUAUAUAUAUAGAGAGAGAGAGAGAGAGAGAGAGAGAGAGUCCGGCUAUGGUGCUUGUAAAAGCAUCAAGCACUUGGUGCUUGUGAAUUUUUUACCGUUAGAUCUACGCUUUUAAUUAUUUUCACCCGUUAGAUUAUACUAUUCAACCAACUAACCACUUAACCCUAGGGGGCCCACAUCAUCCUAACCGCACAUCCCUUAAUCCAAGGGCCGAAAACUUACAAGCACCAAUGACUUGGUAAUUUUAAAA
rnacentral:lncRNA from 1 species